UACGUAGGUGGCAAGCGUUAUCCGGAAUUAUUGGGCGUAAAGCGCGCGCAGGCGGUUUCUUAAGUCUGAUGUGAAAGCCCACGGCUCAACCGUGGAGGGUCAUUGGAAACUGGGGAACUUGAGUGCAGAAGAGAAAAGCGGAAUUCCACGUGUAGCGGUGAAAUGCGUAGAGAUGUGGAGGAACACCAGUGGCGAAGGCGGCUUUUUGGGCUGUAACUGACGCUGAGGCGCGAAAGCGUGGGGAGCAAACAGG
rnacentral:rRNA from 1 species